CGCUGGGUAGCUCAGGUGGUUAGAGCGAGCGACUCAUAAUCGCUAGGUCGAGGGUUCAAGUCCCUCCCCAGCGA
rnacentral:tRNA from 1 species